UACGAAGGGGGCUAGCGUUGCUCGGAAUCACUGGGCGUAAAGGGUGCGUAGGCGGGUCUUUAAGUCAGGGGUGAAAUCCUGGAGCUCAACUCCAGAACUGCCUUUGAUACUGAAGAUCUUGAGUUCGGGAGAGGUGAGAGGAACUGCGAGUGUAGAGGUGAAAUUCGUAGAUAUUCGCAAGAACACCAGUGGCGAAGGCGGCUCACUGGCCCGAUACUGACGCUGAGGCACGAAAGCGUGGGGAGCAAACAGG
rnacentral:rRNA from 1 species